UACGUAGGGUCCGAGCGUUGUCCGGAAUUACUGGGCGUAAAGCGCGCGCAGGCGGCCCGCGAGGUGUCACGUGAAAGCCCCGGGCUCAACCCGGGAGGGUCGUGGCAAACCGGCGGCUUGAGGCCGGUAGAGGUGGGUGGAACUCCUGGUGGAGUGGUGAAAUGCGUAGAUAUCAAGUGGAACACCAGUGGCGAAGGCGAGUCUCUGGACAUUUCCUGACGCUGAGGCACGAAAGCCAGGGGAGCAAACGGG
rnacentral:rRNA from 1 species